AUUGAACGCUGGCGGCAGGCCUAACACAUGCAAGUCGAGCGAGCGGCGGACGGGUGAGUAAUGUCUGGGAAACUGCCUGAUGGAGGGGAUAACUACUGGAAACGGUAGCUAAUACCGCAUCCCAUCAGAUGUGCACAGAUGGGAUUAGCUAGUAGGUGGGGUAACGGCUCACCUAGGCGGCGCUCCCUCGCUGGUCUGAGAGGAUGACCAGCCACACUGGAACUGGGACACGGUCCAGACCCCUACGGGAGGCAGCAGUGGGGAAUAUUGCACAAUGGGCGCAAGCCCGAUGCAGCCAUGCCGCAUGUGUGAAGAAGGCCUUCGGGUUGGAAAGCACUUUCAGCGGGGAGGCGUUAACCGCAGAAGAAGCACCGGCUAACCCCGUGUCAGCCGCCGCGGUAAUUC
rnacentral:rRNA from 1 species